rnacentral:miRNA from 1 species
GGGGUUUUGAGGGCGAGA